UCCCUCUUAGCUCAGUUGGUAGAGCGCGUCACUAGUACAUCUGCGUAUGACGAGGUCAGUCGUUCAAAUCGGCUAGCGGGAA